rnacentral:rRNA from 1 species
AGAGCGAACGCUGGCGGCAGGCCUAACACAUGCAGGUCGAGCGCCCGUAGCAAUACGGGAGCGGCAGACGGGAUAGUAACACGUGGGAACGCGCCCUUCGGUUCGGAAUAACUCAGGGAAACUUGAGCUAAUACCGGAUACGCCCUUACGGGGAAAGAUUUAUUGCCGAAGGAACGGCCCGCGUCCGAUUAGCUAGUUGGUGAGGUAAUGGCUCACCAAGGCGACGAUCGGUAGCUGGUCUGAGAGGAUGACCAGCAUCACUGGGACUGAGACACGGCCCAGACUCCUACGGGAGGCAGCAGUGGGGAAUAUUGGACAAUGGGCGCAAGCCUGAUCCAGCCAUGCCGCGUGGAUGAUGAAGGCCUUAGGGUUGUAAAGUCCUUUUAACGGGGAAGAUAAUGACGGUACCCGUAGAAUAAGCCCCGGCUAACUUCGCGCCAGCACGCCGC